AUUGAACGCUGGCGGCAUGCUUUACACAUGCCAGUCGAACGGCAGCACAGGGAGCUUGCUCCUGGGUGGCGAGUGGCGAACGGGUGAGUAAUGUAUCGGAACGUGCCUGGUAGUGGGGGAUAACUACUCGAAAGAGUGGCUAAUACCGCAUGAGAUCUUUGGAUGAAAGCGGGGGACCUUCGGGCCUCGUGCUACUGGAGCGGCCGAUAUCAGAUUAGGUUGUUGGUGGGGUAAAGGCCUACCAAGCCUGCGAUCUGUAGCUGGUCUGAGAGGACGACCAGCCACACUGGGACUGAGACACGGCCCAGACUCCUACGGGAGGCAGCAGUGGGGAAUGUUGGACAAUGGGCGCAAGCCUGAUCCAGCAAUGCCGCGUGCAGGACGAAGGCCUUCGGGUUGUAAACUGCUUUUGUACAGAACGAAAAGUCUCUGGCUAAUAUCUAGAGAUCAUGACGGUACUGUAAGAAUAAGCACCGGCUAACUACGUG
rnacentral:rRNA from 1 species